rnacentral:lncRNA from 1 species
UCUACCUUGAAACGUGGAAAACAAAAUGGACGACAAACAUACCCUGGUUACCAACCAAUGUUGCUCUACCUUGGUCAAAAGUAUGAUACGUGGACCAAACAUUCCACCAUCACUAGCACAAUGUUUACAUUGCUCUACCUGCUCUACUGUUUUCUUAUCCCUAUUCUACUACUACUACUACAGUAUUAAUGGGGAUGAAAGUUUUGUCAGAAAGGGUGCAAAAUACUUGCAUCCUUCAGAUGUGUAACAAAAUUUUGAAAAAGAGGUAAGUUAUUAUUUUUACAUAUUAUGAUAAUAAUCCGGCUUAUUCUUCAAUCUAUUUGAACGCCUCAGUGGUGCUUGAGGGGGUGGUGCAGGUGGUCCAUUUAUAACAGGUGGGAGUGCUGCUGGUGGUCCAUUUAAAACAGGUGGGAGUAGUGCUGGUGGUCCAUUUAUUACGGUUGGGAUAGUCCGAGAUUACUCUGACGUCCAACGGCUGUUUUGCCAGACAAGCUGGGGCCGUACGUGGGACGUCAGAGCUCGUCCCAUAUCAAAAAGUGGAUAUUUGCGCACCCAAAAUAGAUGCGCUGCUUCGUCGCUUCUGGUUCCGACUAACAGCCUUGAAAUUAUAUAAAUAAUGGCAACAGUAGUAUACCGCUGUUCAAAACUCAUAAUCCAGGGACAAUAAACAAAAUCGGGGUAACAAACUAAAACCGAGGGAAACGCAUUAAAUAUAAGAGAACAACGACAUAACACCGAAACGUAACACAC